UACAGCGUGGGGGUGGGAGCGCGUGAUUGGAUGGACUGCAGCGAUUAGGAUUGGGCAGCCAUUCUCUCUCCCGUGAAAAUAUCUCCCUUCUCUCCCUCAUCCCGCUCCUCUUCUCCGUGUCGCCGCCGCCUCCGCUCCCCUCCCUCUCGGCCGCCUCGUCUCCUCCGCCUCCACCAUCUCCUCCUCCCGCGUCUCCUCGUCCCAUCUUGCUGCCGCCGGCUCCCCUCCUCUCCCCCUGAUUCUCCCCUUCAGCUCGGCCGUCUCAUCUCCUUUGCUGCUGCGCCGCCUCUUCCUCUGCCUCCGUGCUCAACAGGAGGAGCCGGGGUCGCAGCUGCACCACACGACAGUGGGCGAGGGCGAGCUCCAGCGCGAGCAUGCGGAGAGCUAUCCACUGGAUCCGGCCGGCCCAGAUCCACACGGCUCCGUCAACGACAGGCCCGGGGACCCUGCCGGCGUGGGUGUGCCGGCGUCGUUCUCUCUUCUCCAAUCCAUUCUUCCAGAUUUCUCUCCUUCUCUUUCUUAUGUACUCUUUUCUUGACGAACAGAGGGGGACGAAUUAGGAUGGAUCCACGCUGUCGACGCCUCUAAUUUGCUGCCAUGAACGAGGCCUCGCCCAGCGACCACCUCCAUUCAGCUGGCGGAAGAUGACGAUGGCCAACUCCCAGGUGCAGCCAGGCGGGAGGCGAAAAUGGCAAGGGCGGCAGGAGAAAUUCCUCCUUGUGUUGCUGCAUCACUGCAUCUCCCGAUAUUCCAGGAGUAGCUCGCCUGCCUGCUUUGAGAAGAAGAGAUGGAAGGUGGAGGUGGGAACAUGACGCAACGAGGAUAAGGCGUGGGCGUUACAAGAAGUGGGUUGGAGCAAGAAGUAGAGCAGGCAAUUCCCCUCUCUACAUUGGCAUCUACACAGCCAAAUCAAGGACUUAAACUCCUGAUGUCCAUGUAUUUGCUAAUGCUGUCCAUAAGAACGGCUCCUCCUAUCCCCUGCUCCUCUCGCAUUGGCGCAAGUCCGCCUCCUCCCCCGCCUCGGUCUCAACGCGUGCAGCAGCGAUCCGGGAGGAGCUCGAGCCGCAGUGGUGGUCCAUGAUGCCUUCGCCGUCGUCCCCGGCUGGAGAAGCAUGGGCCGCAGAGACGGCCGGAUCUGUCCGGCCCUCACGCUGUCGUUCGUCCACUCUCAAGGAUAAUUUGUUUGUUCAGCUGAUUUGUACAGUUCCAAUACCGGGUUGUUAAGGAAAAUCCAGAUGAUGCAUUCUACGAGUUGGAGACCCCCCCAACAGCAAAUUUAGUCCGACGUCUUUGAUGAAAAUAGUGGUUUGAGCCAUAGUUCCAAGAAUGGAGCUGGACAGUCUUUUUGAGGAAAAAAAUGAUGUCGCAAAGGCCAGGACUUAAGAGAGAUGCUGAUACUAUGAGGUGAAAUGUUCAUUUACUUAAGAGAAACGUGCACAAGGAUGACUGACCGUGUGCGGCACUGACCUCGAUGGCGCCCCGCAUCAUUUCUGCCCGACCUCAAUGUUUACCUCGUCACCCACGGCCAGAUGGUCGAAGACAUCCCGACGAAGCAGCACAUGCUUGUCCCUUCUUUCAUUGGCGGCGGGAGAAAGAGGAUCCACCUGCUCCCUUAUGCUGAUUCGAGCCUUCCUUGUGAGUUGGCUCCAAUUUUUGGAGAAAUUUUGAGCUGUAUUGAGUCCGAUGUUGUCAAUCGAGCCGCAUAGCCAGGAGGGAGGUGGGGGCAAUAUGAGCCCAGAUAAUCCUGCGGCGAAAACAAGAGGCGGUCUUUGACGAAUCUCUGGACAAACACUGCUGUCAAGCCAGCUGGCGCUCCAAAGAAAACGAAGCAGUAGUUCUUUCAUGGACUAGGCUAGAUAUGUACAUACGGGUAUCUUCUAUGUUCUGCUUGCUUAUCAAGCGAAGUUCACCAUUAGAAGGGUGUCUUGCUGAAGAGAGCUUCUCAGCUCUGCUGCGUCACAGCAAUGGUCUGGCCAUCGGGGUCUGAAGAUCGUCAACUCAGCACACUUUUGGGCGUGCACCAGGUUUAUUUUGUGCAACUUUGUAAGACAAGGCUUUGACACUCGCAUAACUAUGUCGAGCCACUGUCAUGACAAUUCCUCUAUUUAGGUCCUCGAACAAAUCAAGUACUAUGCGUUGUAAAUAUCGCCGUCAGCCCUUUCUGUCUUAUCUCCCUUCUUAUGACAAUUUCUACCUCCUGUAAAUGCCACUGGGCCAUGCUGCUUAAUCUAAGUCUUUUUGUUCUUGUUAUACCGUGUGCUCUUUCUUAUGUCUUGUGUUUGCUGCUAGGCUUGCUAAUCUUUACUGAUUCACCUUGCAAGAUAAGCAUGAUGUCUCUGCCGGUCUGUUCACUGUUCCAGCAGAUCGUUCAAGGUUCUUUUUGGCCUUCUUUAAAUAUCGAUAGGAACUCAUUAGUAAAUCAAAGUUAAGAAUCGACAACUAAAUUAAAUGUUCAGCGCACGGAAACUUGAUUUGUUUUUGUAAAAGGCCUGCUAACAUCACACUUUCUUUUUUAUCCCUCCUGAUCUUGCCUGGCUCCCUGGUACUCUCUCCGUAAACUAAUAUAAGAGCAUUUAGAUCACUAAAGUAGUGAUCUAAACGCUCUUAUAUUAGUUUACGGAGGCUAAGGGAAUGCAUGCAUUUUACGGAAUGACUCUUCCAAAUAUUUUAUAUCACUCAGCUUUUCUAUUUCGGUCUUCAUGCAUUCAGUUGCUUUUGAAAUAACUUGCCCAGAUCUUCAGAAAACUAACAUUCUGCUCUGAAUUUAUCUAAUGUGAAAACAAAAAUAAUGCGCAUUUUUUACCUGUAAAGUAAUACAGAAAACAAACUGCAUCCUUUUUAACAAGACCAGUAUUGCUCAAUAAAAUGAGCAUGGAACGGGAAGGCUCCUACUACAUCCUAAAAAAAAACCCUGCUAUGACCAGCAUGUUUUUCUAUUCCUUGUUUCUUUGUAAUGUCUUUUUUAAAGCAAUUACCUUUUUCUUUUGAGACAAUUUAAAGCAAUUACCUAAAAGGAUAAGUGCGGCCCGUUUUCCCUUUGGACCGGCGCCCUUCUCACGAUGUCUGCCGCGGGCCUGCCUUCUAGCAGCCGAGCCCCACCUCAAAAAAGAAAAAAAAAACCAAACAAACAGCCGAGCCUUAUCCUGUCUGCUUCCCUGAGCUCGCAUUCUUCCCUGAGCCUUAUCCUAUCGAGCCCCACUCUCUACCUCUGUUGUUUCUUCUGCGGCGCUCGGUCCCCGAAAAGUACCCCGCCGACUCCCAGGCCUCAGAUCCGUUUUGGUCCUCAGCAAAGCAGGCCAAAGACUAAUCCGAGCACCUGCCUAAUCCUCAAGGUAUAUUCUUCUGUUCCAGAUUCAGCUCUAAUCCUGCUGCAUGCCCACGAAAAUCCAAUUGGGUUGCUCCCCAUUCCUCAGAAUGUUGUAUAUUUGCAUAAAAGUGGUGAGAUGUAUAUUUAUCUGUUCAAUGUCCACGUUUGAUCCCGUUGCGUGUCCACAAAACACAUGUUUGGUCGCUCCCUAUCUUUUUUAAGAUGUGCUUUGUGUGCUGAUGCAUGCUCCACGAAUAUUAUAUCCGCAUAAGGCCGGUAGGAUAGAUAAUUUAACAGCUAUUAUUUGUUUUGAAACGCUCCGCUCGGUCUUUGUCCAGUAGUCUCAUUCCAUACUACCAGCCAAUAUCAUUGAUGCACGUGAUUUACCUAGGCCAUCGAAAAAAAAUUGUUCUCUCCAUACAUGCAUCCCAUCUUCUUCCUAGAAUAAUUCUGUUACUUACCUCUGUGAAUUUCUUUGCAUUAUUAUAGUUUCGUUUCAUCAUGAGAUUGCUAGAGAGUUCUUCGGUUCUGUAUGCACAUGCAAUCAAAGGCUUGGCUGCUCACUGUUCUUGAUGCACGCUACAUUUAUACCUUCUGACAGCCCUCUGGGUCUAUCUCCUGAAACCAUCCUCAUGGAAUUGGUUGAGCUGUCCACCACAUAUUUGGCUGAAGCAAUGUUUGAGAAGCUUGGGCUCCCUAAACCAAUCUACCAUGUGCAUUGACUUGAGCAAGGUGAUGUAAAGCAGAAAUUGAAUUCCAUUGUACGAAAGAACGUUUCCAUGCUUCAGCAUGCCGGGCUAAACUGAAAACUCGUGUAUGCGAGGAUGAGGAGACAUCAAUGAAUCUUGCAGCCGAUCUGGCCAUUGAAUACAUGGAAAACAAAGAGAACAAAGUACUUGUUGAUUACAAUUAUUACCAACUGGAGCAAAAUAAAAAGACAUGUGCAAGAGUAUCAGACAAGCUGCUAGAAAAAUCAGAGGAUAUCAACCAACGCAGCAACAAAAUCAAACUGAUAACUAAAGAGGCAUGCAACUAUGUGGAUGAAGUGCGUGCUGCAUCAAAUAAAAUCCAUUGUCUUACUGGUGUUGCCUUGGACCCAACUACCUCAAUGUCCGUCUCUAAUCUGAGGCAGGCUCUCCUGGUGAUUCAUGAUGCAGUAAUUGCACUGCAAAACACUACAACCACAGCAUCUCAGUUCCUGGAGGAAGAAGGCAUGUACUCUGAUGAGGACGUGGCUGAUCCAGUAUACACUGGGCAUUCUGAUGAAGAUUCUGCUGAAGAUUGCCAUCCAGACAUGAACGACGACUACGCUCAUUAUAUGCGAUAUCCAUGAGCAUCAUGUUCAGCCUGCUGAGCUAUCUGAUCGCCAUAUGAAGCUCUAUAUGUAUAGCUUCACUAUGAUGGGUUGCUUCUGUUAGGCGGGAACCAGUGUGGUUCUUACGUUCAAUCUCCAUGUUUAGUCUCCUGUGUUAGUUAAAUAAGAUAUGAAGCUCUGUCUUAUAGCUUCACCUUAGAAAUCUGUCUCCUUUUCGAACUGUACUCUCAUCAUGCAUAAGUAUUGAAUUCAUCGUGCUGUGCUAAGACAAUGUAAUUUAUCUAUGUUGUAUGUUUGCUUUUACCCACUGAGAAACUUCCUCUCAGUACCAUCGCUAUGCACCUGCAUUAACU